AUUGAACGCUGGCGGCAUGCUUUACACAUGCAAGUCGAACGGUAACAGGCCGCAAGGUGCUGACGAGUGGCGAACGGGUGAGUAAUGCAUCGGAACGUGCCCAGUCGUGGGGGAUAACGCAGCGAAAGCUGCGCUAAUACCGCAUACGAUCUCUGGAUGAAAGCGGGGGACCGAAAGGCCUCGCGCGAUUGGAGCGGCCGAUGUCAGAUUAAGUAGUUGGUGGGGUAAAGGCUCACCAAGCCAACGAUCUGUAGCUGGUCUGAGAGGACGACCAGCCACACUGGGACUGAGACACGGCCCAGACUCCUACGGGAGGCAGCAGUGGGGAAUUUUGGACAAUGGGCGCAAGCCUGAUCCAGCAAUGCCGCGUGCAGGAAGAAGGCCUUCGGGUUGUAAACUGCUUUUGUACGGAACGAAACGGUCCUGGUUAAUACCUGGGGCUAAUGACGGUACCGUAAGAAUAUGCACCGGCUAACUACGUGCCAGCCGCCGCCGUAAAAC
rnacentral:rRNA from 1 species